AACGCACAUUGCGCCCCUUGGUAUUCCGAGGGGCAUGCCUGUUCGAGCGUCAUUACAACCCUCAAGCAUUGCUUGGUAUUGGGCUCCGCUGUUCACCCAGCGGGUCUUAAAAUCAGUGGCAGUGCCGUCGAGGCCCUGAGCGUAGUAAAUAUCCUCGCUAUAGGGACCCGAUGGACGCUGGCCAUCAACCCCCAACUUUCUAAGUUUGACCUCGGAUCAGGUAGGGAUACCCGCUGAACUUAA
rnacentral:misc_RNA from 1 species